UACGGAGGGGGCUAGCGUUGUUCGGAUUUACUGGGCGUAAAGCGCGCGUAGGCGGAACGUUAAGUCAGGGGUGAAAUCCCGGAGCUCAACUCCGGAACUGUCUUUGAUACUGGAUAUCUAGAGACCGAGAGAGGUAAGUGGAACUCCUAGUGUAGAGGUGGAAUUCGUAGAUAUUAGGAAGAACACCAGUGGCGAAGGCGGCUUACUGGCUCGGAACUGACGCUGAGGUGCGAAAGCGUGGGGAGCAAACAGG
rnacentral:misc_RNA from 1 species